rnacentral:rRNA from 1 species
CAGCACCUCAAGUGGUCAGGAUGAUUAUUGGGCCUAAAGCAUCCGUAGCCGGCUCUGUAAGUUUUCGGUUAAAUCUGUAUGCUCAACAUACAGGCUGCCGGGAAUACUGCAGAGCUAGGGAGUGGGAGAGGUAGACGGUACUCGGUAGGAAGGGGUAAAAUCCUUUGAUCUAUUGAUGACCACCUGUGGCGAAGGCGGUCUACCAGAACACGUCCGACGGUGAGGGAUGAAAGCUGGGGGAGCGAACCGGAUUAGAUAACCGAGUAGUCC